rnacentral:tRNA from 1 species
GGCAGCGUGUCCGAGUGGUUAAGGAGGUGGACUCCAAAUCCACUAGGCUCAGCUUGCGCAGGUUCGAAUCCGGUCGCUGUCG